ensembl:lncRNA
GUUUUAACUCCGGCUCGCUUUUGUCUGCGCAACGACAAGCAUAACAGGCCGCACCAAAAACCCAUUCGCCAAAAUGAAACGAGAAAAACGGGCUGAAGCAUGCGCCAGCGAUACGGAAAACAGAGACAUGUAAAGACGUGCGGGGCUGCGUUAGCUAACCAGCUGCAGCUACCGCUGCAUUCAUGGAGAUUCAUCUCCCUGCCGGGAAUCUGAUGGACCCAGAAACGCUGACCCAGGGUCACGGGGUCACUGGAAGAUUAGGACGAUUGAUAAGUACAGACAACUAUGCCCCCCCCCCCGUCCAUCUUCUAGCUCCCAGCUCUCCUCACCCGUCCCUCCAGCUCCACCCUCUCUUCCCACAGUGACCUUUAGUCCACCUAUUGUUCUGUAAGUGGGCCAAGAGGAACCAGCGUUUAUGGAGACGGGGGCCGAGCCGGAGACUUUAGGAUGCCAACCGUAUGUUGCGCGGCAUUAAUCCUAUUGUUUAUUUAAGGAUUAUGGACGAGGACCAUACGCAAUGUGGACUGUUGCAUUACGCCGAUCGCAGUGACGGAGCUGCACCGUAACCUCCUGUUGAUUUUAGCACAUUGUGUCAGUGUCUCCGACCACGUCUCAGAACGUCUGGCGUCCUGCGUAAGUCAUCAGCAUCCGUGAACGAACCGAGGACCCUGAGAACCUCUGAGUCCUGUAAAGUGUCAGAAUUCUUCACAUGCGAAGCUGGAGACGCAAACCAACGGGCGGCUGAUGGAUCGAUUCUCCAAUCAGAUGGUAUCAGAGCGACAGCAUGAAGAACCCCAGGUGGUUUUACUACAACACUGCGUGGAUUCCAUGAUUUGGUUCAUCAUCGUUGUAAUAAUCCAAAGUCUGGGUUUUUAGUCUCCGAGCGGCGGAACGAGUUGAGGAAAGCAGGAAUCUGAGGAAUGUGGGUGGUUAAAGUUCCGCAGAAUCCAGAUAAGUAUCUUUGAAAGGUACGCCCUGACACACACACACACCACACACACACACACACACACACACACACACACACACACACACACAGCAAAGUGAUUCAGCGCCAAGGAACCUCGCGGAGGACGGACGGGAUUCUUCUCACGGGACGCUUGGUGGACCACACUGCCUGUCCACAUCGGGACCCUCGGGCCCCCUGGCGUCCCACCCCUCCCUCCCGCCGUGUCUUUGGGGGUGGGUGGAGACCAGGCGAGGGCCCCCCCCCCCCCCCUCCACUGAGUUGUGUAUUGUCUUGGGGUCUUUUCCUCUUGUUAGCACCCUUGGCCUUUCAGUAUGCCGUGCC